rnacentral:rRNA from 1 species
UAACGAAUCUUCCGCAAUGCACGAAAGUGUGACGGAGCGACGCCGCGUGGAGGACGAAGUUCUUCGGAAUGUAAACUCCUGUCAGGGGAAAGAAAGUUCUGAUCUACCCCAGAGGAAGAGGCGGCUAACUCUGUGCCAGCAGCCGCGGUAAUACAGAGGCCUCGAGCGUUAGACGGAAUCACUGGGCUUAAAGCGUGUGUAGGCGGAAGGGUAAGUACCUUGUGAAAUCCCACGGCUUAACCGUGGAACGGCUUGGUAUACUGCUUUUCUUGAGCAAUCUAGGGGCGAGUGGAACAGAUGGUGGAGCGGUGAAAUGCGUAGAUAUCAUCUGGAACGCCAAUGGUGAAGACAACUCGCUGGGGAUUUGCUGACGCUGAGACACGAAAGCCAGGGGAGCAAACGGGAUUAGAUACCCAAGUAGUCCCUGAGCGGGCUGGCAAGGCGCAU